rnacentral:rRNA from 1 species
GUGGGGAAUUUUGCGCAAUGGGGGAAACCCUGACGCAGCAACGCCGCGUGAGUGAUGAAGGCCUUCGGGUCGUAAAGCUCUGUCAGAGGGGAAGAAUUGUGGAAUGCUAAUACCAUAUUCACUUGACGGUACCCUCAAAGGAAGCACCGGCUAACUCCGUGCCAGCAGCCGCGGUAAUACGGAGGGUGCGAGCGUUGUUCGGAAUUAUUGGGCGUAAAGCGCGUGUAGGCGGCUUGUCAAGUCCGAUGUGAAAGCCCCGGGCUCAACCUGGGAAGUGCAUUGGAAACUGGCAGACUUGAAUACGGGAGAGGGCAGUGGAAUUCCUAGUGUAGGAGUGAAAUCCGUAGAUAUUAGGAGGAACACCGGUGGCGAAGGCGGCUGCCUGGACCGAUAUUGACGCUGAGACGCGAAAGCGUGGGGAGCAAACAGGAUUAGAAACCCUAGUAGUCC